UUCAAUACCAACUGAACUUGUGACCUAGUUCAGGAAGUGCUAUGUUGUUGGUUAAUGUUAACUGUUAUGCAUUUCUUGGUGUUGGAAUGUAGGUUAAAACAUGUUGCCAUGUGUUUAUGCUUCCACUACAUUGGACUGUUGGGGUAGGGCAUUGGUGUUAAUUUGAAAUGAAUUUGGAGCCAAUUUGCAAGUGAAUUUGAAGUUGAAUUUAGAGUUAAUUUAGGAUGGACUUGUUGUACUGAGAGUCAUCUAUAUUCUGACUUAAUUGGCCUUGCAGUCAUUCUGUAGCAUAGCUUCAAUGUGUUAAACCAAGUCAGUUUUGAGUCAAUUUUGGUGUUCGCAUUGAGUUGAUUAUGCUUUUCCCUGGAAACAUUAUGCAGAUUAACCUGUUCUAUUUUGAACUGUUGGAGUUGCAGGUUUUACUUGCACUGUUGUGAAUAGGUAUUGGUUGUUGUGCUAGGUUGAGAUGCUUGUUAGUGGAUGAUGGUUUUGAUGUUGCUGCAACAUAUAUGCAUUGUUGAUGAGCUGACUGAACUGUUAUUGUAAUUAGCUACAAGUUUGCAUAUGGUUUGAAGAUGCCUUGUAGACUGUCUGCUUCGUAGGAUUUAUGUUUAAAGGAUAAUUGCAGGUUUGCAUUGCUUAUGAUGUUUGGCCAUAUUGGGAUGCAACUAUAGCUUGGAAUAAGUGCGGUUCAUGUUUGGCUUUAUUUGCUCUAUUGCAGGUUUGGUUGGAUGCAAGACAUGAUGGUUCAUUGUUGGGUUGUACUUGCAUUGCCAACUGACUUGGUCUGGAUGCAACCUUGCAUGAUGUCGUGAUUCUCUUGGCCAUAGCCAUGUUCAGGUAAUGAUAAGCCCAUGUUUUAUUUCCUUUGUGAUGUACCAGAGUUGCAACAGACUUUUCAAAUGGCCAUUCCAUGAUGCAUAAGCUGACUGGUUUAGCUGAUUUGGUAUGGUGCCAUGGUGAGGUCAGACAAUGCAAAGUGUUGUGGCUGCUAUGAGGCAUGCAGGAUAGUCAUAAGGUAUUUGUUGCUAAACUGAAAUGCAAUGCCAUGAUGUAUGCUUGCCAUGUUCUUUUGCUUCCUGUUGUAAAUUGUGUCUCGAGUUUGGUUCAUGGUAUGCUCAAAUACAUGGCCUUGAUUAAUGCAUAAUUAUUUGACAUAUGUGUGCAGGUCUUGCUUUGCAGCAUGUUGUUUUUUAUAUGCAUUAGCUGCAGGAUACAUGAUGGUUUGUUGUCUUGCAAGUUGAAGGAUGCUAGGCAUGGUGUAGCAAGGCAAGCAGGGAAAAUGGCCUGAGUUGGCAGCAUGUGUUCUGACUUGUUGUAGCAUGAACCUGGCAGGUAAUAAUGCAUUAUUGGCUUGAUGUUAAUGAUGAUGAAGCUACUGUCAACAAUGUUGUCAAGGUUGGAAUUGUAGAUUACUAUGCUUUGGUUUUGGUUUGUAAUUUAUGUGUGUGUAUGAUCACUUGGUGUUAGAUCUGUUUUAGACUUGGAUUAUGGUUAAGUAAUAGUUCUUGAACUUGUAAUGGUUAUGUCAUGAAGUCAUGUUUGGAUGAAUGGACACUUAUGUUAGGGUAGUGAUAUGUUUCUUCAUUCAUUGAGCAUAUGGCUUAUUCUAUUUUAAAAUCAAGGGCAAGGGGCUAACCUGUUUCUAUUUGAAGUUCAUGACAAUGUGCUAAUUUAUAUGGUUAUGAUAUUGGUUGGUUUUGUAGGCUUGGUGGACAUGAUUUUGAACAUGGACAAUGUUACUUGUAAAUGAAUAAACAUGACACAAACAAACCAACAUGACCUUUAGAUGAUAAAUUAAGGAAAGGUGGAUUAGAUUAGAUCUUAGGUGGCCAAAAAGGGAUGAGUUGACUUUGUUCAAAAUUGACCAAAAAGUCAAUGGUUGACCAAAGUCAACACUUGGUCAAAGUUGCUAAAAUUUGUAAGUUUUUAUGUAAUGAUCAAUGUAAUGGAUUGUAAUGGUUUGCAAUGGAUUGAAUGGAAGUUAAAUGGUUUUCAAAUUGGUUUCCAAAUUGGUUUUUAUACAUGUAUAUGCUUGAAUUUAAAUUGAAAUGAACAUGGA
rnacentral:lncRNA from 1 species